UCUAAGUGGAGUAUUAUAUAGCGAAACUGCGAACGGCUCAUUACAACAGAUAUAAUUUACUAGUUCUUGUUUCUAUAUGGAUAACUGCGGUAAUUCUGGAGCCAAUACAUGCAUCAAGCCCUGGCCGUCCGGUUAGGGUGCAAUUAUUGGAGCAAAACCAGUCUCGUACUGUUUGCUAACUCAGGAUAAUUCUGCAUAUCGCAUGGUCUUGUACCGGCGAAGUUUCUUUCAAGUAUCUGCUUUAUCAACUAUCGUUGGUAGUUUAUUGGUCUACCAUGGUGUUGACGGGUAACGGAGAAUCAGGGUUUGACUCCGGAGAGGGAGCCUUAGAAACGGCUACCAUGUCUAAGGAUAGCAGCAGGCGCGAAAAUUACCCAAUAUCAAAACGAUGAGGUAGUGACGAGAAAUAACAAGAUCGUUCUCUUUGAGAUCGAUUAUUGGAAUGAGUACAAUCCAGAAAUUUUAACGAGUACCUACGAGAGGGCAAGUCUGGUGCCAGCAGCCGCGGUAAUUCCAGCUCUCGUAAUGUAUAGAAUUAUUGUUGCGAUUAAAAAGUUCGUAGUUGGAUUGCAACGCAGGUAUGGGUCCACCCUCUGGGUGCGUACUCAAUGCUUGCAUUUUGCAUGUUUUUGUGGCGUCGCUUCGGUGGCGUUCAUGAUGCAUGCAGGAUUACUUUGAACGGCUCAAGUGCUUAAAGCAAGUCUUAUGACUGAAUACCGGUGCAUGGAAUAAUGGAACAAGGUUGUGGCUGAGUUUUAUUGGUUUUGUCGGCUAAAACAAUGGUUAACAGGAACAGCCGGGGGCAUUCGUAUCGCUGCGCGAGAGGUGAAAUUCGUGGACCGUAGCGAGACGUCCUACAGCGAAGGCAUUUGCCAAGAGUGUUUUCAUUAAUCAAGAACGAAAGUCAGAGGUUCGAAGGCGAUUAGAUACCGCUCUAGUUCUGACCGUAAACGAUGCCAACUGUCGAUCCGCUUGUGGAUUUUAUUCAUGAGCGGGGAGAUUUCCGGAAACGAAAGUUUUUCGGUUUCGGGGGAAGUAUGGUUGCAAAGCUGAAACUUAAAGGAAUUGACGGAAGGGCACCACCAGGAGUGGAGCUUGCGGCUUAAUUUGACUCAACACGGGAAAUCUCACCCGGCCAGUACAUCGUAAGGAUUGACAGACUGACAGCUCUUUCAUGAUUCGGUGAAUGGUGGUGCAUGGCCGUUCUUAGUUCGUGGAUUGAUUUGUCUGGUUUAUUCCGAUAACGAACGAGACUUUAACUAUUAAAUAGUGCGCAUGUUGCUUCGGCUGCGUGUGAUCACUUCUUAAAGGAAUUUGUGGUUUUCAACCUCAAGAAAUUGAGCAAUAACAGGUCUGUGAUGCCCUUAGAUGUUCGGGGCCGCACGCGUGCUACAAUGGUGGUAACAGCGUGAUUGUCCUUUUCCGACAGGAAUUGGCAAACAGUUGAGAUAUUAUUAUGGCUGGAAUUGAGUGUUGAAAUUUUCUCUCAUGAACGAGGAAUUCCAAGUAAAUGUGAGUCAUUAACUUGCAUUGAUUACGUCCCUGCCCUUUGUACACACCGCCCGUCGCUGCCCGGGACUGAGUUACUUCGAGAAAACUAGGGAUCGCUGGAGUUCGAUGUUUCGGCAUUGUCUUUGGUGAGAACUAGUUUAAUCGCAGUGGCUUGAACCGGGCAAAAGUCGUAACAAGGUAGCCGUAGGUGAACCUUCGGCUGGAUCAUUACCGAUCCUAUGACACAUUCAUUCGUGCUCGUCACGAAGACGUGGAGCAACUUCGGUUGCGCCGCAUGAUGUGGGUUCGAUUCGUCGUCCCCGCUACUGAUUGUUCGCACGGAAGCCGAGAGGUGACCGUGCAACGGUAAAGUCUGGGUUUCUAUGCGCUGCGUUGAGUCGACGUUUUACCGUGCCGACAGAUGAGACCAGCCAGCUGCUUGCCGAUUCGUUCUGGCGAGCGUAGGAUUGAAAAGCCCGAGCGGCUGCCCUGACAAAACAUUCAUUUUACAUUUAUUUUGUUGGAAAAGAAUAUUAAGUUACUCCGGUGGAUCACUUGGCUCGCGGGUCGAUGAAGAACGCAGUGAAUUGCGAUAAUAAGUACGAAUUACAGAUAUUAUGAGUACCAUGUUUUUGAAUGCAUAUUGCGCUCUUGGGCUUUGCUCUUGAGCAUAUUCGAUUCAGGGUGUGUUGUUAAACUGAAGCAGAAACGCCGACUUGUUUUCUCAAGUUUCUGCAUUCGUGAACAGUUGUCUCGCAUCGUCGUUCGGGGCGAUGUUAGGCACCAUCUGUUUGAGGAGUGCGUGCACUCCGGCCAUAUCUCUACGACUACACUGUUUGUUGCGGCGAGUACGAAAGGGCUUCGGCUCGAUUGUGCCACCGCGGCUAAACCGUUCGGUGAUGUUGUUCAGCGGCGCGGCCGUCAAGGAUGUUCGGAUGCGAAUGUUUGAAGUCCUGGUUGCGUUUGUUGAGCGUCGUCGUGAAGCCUUGCGGGCAGUUGGUUCGGAAUUGGUUGAAACCACCUGAGUUGGGUAUGACUACCUGCUGAACUUAAGCAUAUCAGUAAGC
rnacentral:rRNA from 1 species